rnacentral:rRNA from 1 species
GACGAACGCUGGCGGCGUGCUUAACACAUGCAAGUCGAACGGAAAGGCCCUGAGCUUGUGGGUUGCUCGAGUGGCGAACGGGUGUGUAUCACGUGAGUAACAUCCCCUUGACUUUCGGGUAACUUCAGGAAACUGGGGCUAAUACCGGAUAGGAUCUCUUGAUGCAUGUUGGGGGUUGGAAAGUGUCGGCGGUGGUGGAUGGACUUGAGGCUUAUCCGCUGGAUGGUGAGGUAGUGGUUUACCAGGGGUUUGACGGAUAGCCGGCAUGGGAGGGUGACCGGGCACAUGGCGACUGAGAUAGGCCGCAGACUCCAACGGGAGGCAGCAGUGGGGAGUAUGGCGCAAUGGGGGGAAGCCUGAUGCAGCAACGCCGCGUUCGGGAUGACCUCUUACGGGUGGUAAACCGCUGUCGCCUGUGACGAAGCGUGAGUGACGGUAAUUGGUAAAGAAGCACCGGCUAACUACGUG